UGCGAUAUGAGAACUAUAGGUUAGCUUGAAAGUGCAAAACAAAAGAAAAAUCCAAAAAGCAAAAGUAAUACGAGUAGAAAAAGUUCUCAAAAAAUAAAAAGCAUUCAUGAGUGAGAUAAGCUGAAAAAGAAAGUGACAAAGUCACAAAAGAAAGAGAAACCCGUUCAUUAGUGCACAGAAACUCAUAGGCUAGCUGUAGUUACUAUGUCGUGCUAUGAUUUCUUA
rnacentral:lncRNA from 1 species